GUUGUAUGGUUAAGUGACUAAGCGUACAUGGUGGAUGCCUUGGCAGUCAGAGGCGAUGAAGGACGUACUAACCUGCGAUAAGCCGUGAGCAGUCGGUAAGAGACAUUACGACUCACGGAUUUCCGAAUGGGGAAACCCACUUAGCAUAAGCUAGGUAUCGCUGCGUGAAUACAUAGCGUAGCGAGGCGAACCGGGAGAACUGAAACAUCUAAGUACCCCGAGGAAAAGAAAUCAACCGAGAUUCCCUCAGUAGCGGCGAGCGAACGGGGAUUAGCCCUUAAGCAUCUUGGAAGUUAGUGGAACGGUCCUGGAAAGGCCGGCGAUACAGGGUGAUAGCCCCGUACACGAAAACAACCUUGAUGUGAAAUCGAGUAGGGCGGGACACGUGACAUCCUGUCUGAAUAUGGGGGGACCAUCCUCCAAGGCUAAAUACUCCUGACUGACCGAUAGUGAACCAGUACCGUGAGGGAAAGGCGAAAAGAACCCCUGUGAGGGGAGUGAAAUAGAACCUGAAACCGUGUACGUACAAGCAGUGGGAGCCCUUCGGGGUGACUGCGUACCUUUUGUAUAAUGGGUCAGCGACUUACAUUUUGUAGCGAGGUUAACCGUAUAGGGGAGCCGUAGGGAAACCGAGUCUUAACUGGGCGUCUAGUUGCAAGGUGUAGACCCGAAACCGGGUGAUCUAGCCAUGGGCAGGUUGAAGGUUGAGUAACAUCAACUGGAGGACCGAACCCACUAACGUUGCAAAGUUAGGGGAUGACCUGUGGCUGGGGGUGAAAGGCCAAUCAAACUCGGAGAUAGCUGGUUCUCCCCGAAAGCUAUUUAGGUAGCGCCUCGGACGAAUACUACUGGGGGUAGAGCACUGUUUGGGCUAGGGGGUCAUCCCGACUUACCAACCCCAUGCAAACUCCGAAUACCAGUAAGUAAUAUCCGGGAGACACACGGCGGGUGCUAACGUCCGUCGUGAAGAGGGAAACAACCCAGACCGCCGGCUAAGGUCCCAAAGUUCUGGUUAAGUGGGAAACGAUGUGGGAAGGCUCAGACAGCUAGGAUGUUGGCUUAGAAGCAGCCAUCAUUUAAAGAAAGCGUAAUAGCUCACUAGUCGAGUCGGCCUGCGCGGAAGAUGUAACGGGGCUCAAACCAGGCACCGAAGCCGCGGAUUCACACUAAGUGUGAGUGGUAGGGGAGCGUUCUGUAAGUCUGCGAAGGUGUAUCGGAAGAGGUAUGCUGGAGAUAUCAGAAGUGCGAAUGCUGACGUAAGUAACGAUAAAGGGGGUGAAAAGCCUCCUCGCCGGAAGACCAAGGGUUCCUGUCCAACGUUAAUCGGGGCAGGGUGAGUCGACCCCUAAGGCGAGGCCGAAAGGCGUAGUCGAUGGGAAGCAGGUUAAUAUUCCUGCACGACUUGUAAUUGCGAUGGGGGGACGGAGAAGGCUAGGUGGGCCAGGCGACGGUUGUCCUGGUGAAAGUGCGUAGGUGGUGUUUCUAGGCAAAUCCGGAGACACAACACUGAGAGACUAGUGUUCACACUACGCUGUUGAUUCCAUUGAUGCCCUGCUUCCAGGAAAAGCCUCUAAGCUUCAGAUUACAAGUCAUCGUACCCCAAACCGACACAGGUGGUCGGGUAGAGAAUACCAAGGCGCUUGAGAGAACUCGGGUGAAGGAACUAGGCAAAAUAGAACCGUAACUUCGGGAGAAGGUUCGCUCUUGACAGUGAAGUCCCUUGCGGAUGGAGCAGUUGGGAGUCGCAGUGACCAGAUGGCUGGGACUGUUUAUCAAAAACACAGCACUCUGCAAACACGAAAGUGGACGUAUAGGGUGUGACACCUGCCCGGUGCCGGAAGGUUAAUUGAUGGGGUUAGCGCAAGCGAAGCUCUUGAUCGAAGCCCCGGUAAACGGCGGCCGUAACUAUAACGGUCCUAAGGUAGCGAAAUUCCUUGUCGGGUAAGUUCCGACCUGCACGAAUGGUGUAACCAUGGCCAUGCUGUCUCCACCCGAGACUCAGUGAAAUCGAAUUCGCCGUGAAGAUGCGGUGUACCCGCGGCUAGACGGAAAGACCCCGUGAACCUUUACUACAGCUUGGCACUGAACAUUGAACCUACAUGUGUAGGAUAGGUGGGAGGCUUUGAAGGCGUGACGCCAGUUGCGCUGGAGCCGUCCUUGAAAUACCACCCUUGUAUGUUUGAUGUUCUAACGCAGGCCCCUGAAUCGGGGUCGCGGACAGUGCCUGGUGGGUAGUUUGACUGGGGCGGUCUCCUCCCAAAGAGUAACGGAGGAGCACGAAGGUUGGCUAAUCCUGGUCGGACAUCAGGAGGUUAGUGCAAUGGCAUAAGCCAGCUUAACUGCGAGACGGACAGGUCGAGCAGGUACGAAAGUAGGUCAUAGUGAUCCGGUGGUUCUGAAUGGAAGGGCCAUCGCUCAACGGAUAAAAGGUACUCCGGGGAUAACAGGCUGAUACCGCCCAAGAGUUCAUAUCGACGGCGGUGUUUGGCACCUCGAUGUCGGCUCAUCACAUCCUGGGGCUGAAGUCGGUCCCAAGGGUAUGGCUGUUCGCCAUUUAAAGUGGUACGCGAGCUGGGUUCAGAACGUCGUGAGACAGUUCGGUCCCUAUCUGCCGUGGGCGUUGGAUGAUUGAAGGGAGUUGCUCCUAGUACGAGAGGACCGGAGUGAACGAACCUCUGGUGUUCGGGUUGUCACGCCAGUGGCACUGCCCGGUAGCUAAGUUCGGAAUCGAUAACCGCUGAAAGCAUCUAAGCGGGAAGCGAGCCCUGAGAUGAGUCAUCCCUGACCCCUUGAGGGUCCUAAAGGGCCGUUGGAGACCACAACGUUGAUAGGUGGGGUGUGUAAGCGCGGCGACGUGUUGAGCUAACCCAUACUAAUUACCCGUGAGGCUUAACCAUACAACACCGAAG
rnacentral:rRNA from 1 species